rnacentral:rRNA from 1 species
UGGGGAAUAUUGCACAAUGGAGGGAACUCUGAUGCAGCGACGCCGCGUGAACGAAGAAGGCUUUCGAGUCGUAAAGUUCUUUUAUAUGGGAAGAUAAUGACGGUACCAUAAGAAAAAGCCCCGGCUAACUACGUGCCAGCAGCCGCGGUAAUACGUAGGGGGCUAGCGUUGUCCGGAAUCACUGGGCGUAAAGGGUUCGCAGGCGGAAAUGCAAGUCAGGUGUAAAAGGCAGUAGCUUAACUACUGUAAGCAUUUGAAACUGCAUAUCUUGAGAAGAGUAGAGGUAAAUUGAAUUUUUAGUGUAACGGUGAAAUGCGUAGAUAUUAAAAAGAAUACCGGUGGCGAAGGCGACUUACUGGGCUCAUUCUGACGCUGAGGAACGAAAGCGUGGGUAGCAAACAGG